CUGCUAGCACAUAUGUAUGGGUUCAGUACGUAUGGCACACAGAAAGGGGAGUGUGUUUGCCUACAGUGUCUCUCUGGAUCCUCUUUGUUUAUAUUGAAGCAGCCAUUAGAUUUAAAGAUCUCAAAAACUUUCAUGUAGACCUUUGUCGUCCAUUUGCUGCUCACUGCAGCCAAAGGAUUACCUGAUAUGGAUUCUUCGAUCCUUAUACACCACAAUGGAGGUAUCCCAGCCAACAAAAAACUCUCCACAACUUUGCCAGAGAUAGAAUACCGAGAAAAAGGGAAAGAAAAGGACAAGGAUGCCAAAAAACACAACCUUGGAAUAAAUAACAACAAUAUUCUACAACCUGUAGACUCUAAAAUACAAGAGAUUGAGUAUAUGGAAAACCAUAUCAAUAGUAAAAGAUUAAAUAAUGAUCUUGUGGGAAGUACAGAAAAUCUCUUGAAAGAGGACUCAUGCACUGCUUCCUCAAAAAAUUACAAAAAUGCCAGUGGAGUUGUGAACUCCUCACCUCGAAGUCAUAGCGCCACAAAUGGGAGCAUUCCUUCUUCAUCUAGUA
rnacentral:sRNA from 1 species